rnacentral:rRNA from 1 species
GACGAACGCUGGCGGCGUGCUUAACACAUGCAAGUCGAGCGGUAAGGCCCUUUCGGGGGUACACGAGCGGCGAACGGGUGAGUAACACGUGGGUGACCUGCCCUCAGCUCUGGGAUAAGCCUGGGAAACUGGGUCUAAUACCGGAUAUGACUCCAUGACGCAUGUUGUGGGGUGGAAAGCCUUGUGCGGCUGAGGAUGGGCCCGCGGCCUAUCAGCUUGUUGGUGGGGUGANGGCCUACCAAGGCGACGACGGGUAGCCGGCCUGAGAGGGCGACCGGCCACACUGGGACUGAGACACGGCCCAGACUCCUACGGGAGGCAGCAGUGGGGAAUCUUGCG